CCGUAGAAAGCACUAACCUGAUGAAUGACAAGGAUGAAAGUCUUAUUAAAUACUCAAAGACACGCGGUCGUCACGCAUCAUGGAUAUUACAGCAACUUUCCUAACUUUUUUAAAAAAAUUGUAAGCAUUCCGCCUCCCGGACUAUGGCGUCCAUUCAUAAAACCGCCGCUGCUUGCACCGUCAUAAUUGAGAAUCUCGAAGCCCUUUGAAGUAUUUGACGGACGCCAUCGAAGACAUUUCCACUGAGUAAUAACUGUCAAUUGUGGACAAAUAUACCAACAGAACACCACGCCGUCAUUGUCCCUGGCCUACACGCUGUUGUAUAGUUUGCUGAAGAAGGAAAAAUAAGUUCGAGCAAAAUGGAGAAGAUAUUCGACAAAGUUGUCCAAGUCAAGAUCAAGUGCGGAUCCAGCGAGGAAAGGGCUACCAGAUCAUCAAGAAGUUUCAGGAUGGUGAUCAACCUCCAGACCAAUGACUUCCAACUGAAGAACCAGCAUCGGAUUCUCGGGAGACCAAGGCCAAACUUGAGCAUGCUAAAAAAGACCUCCAUGAGACUCAGCAGCAGAUCUCCACCAUGGACCAGCAGGAGAUGAAUGCUGAGAGAGGCCAGUCGUUUGGAUCUUUGAACAACCAAUGGGUCACACACCGUAACUGGCUCCAUGCGGUUGCAGUUCAUAUUGUGCCAGAUCUCAGAACAGCAGGGUGCCCCAGAGAGUCGAGACCAUAUCACUGCUGCCCGUCAACCUCUGCCCGGGCUAUGGGCAAAUAGUCAAGACCUCAACGCUGGACCAGGCCGGAUAUGAGCAGCAGUAAGACGCACAACAACGGCUGGGAAGAUGGAGGAAGGCUACAUCAAAGAUGGGUCACCAAUCAUCUUGGUCUCCAUGCCAAGGUACCUUGGCCCGUUUGAUGCCAAAGACUGUGGAAGCUGACCUUGCAUCAACGUUAAACGAUUCUACGCACUCCCCAGUGGACAAUGAAUACAGGGAAUACGGGAUUGUUAUUCUGCACUGAAGGACCCUUUCACGUGAUACAUUCUGCACUUCGUUUAAGCACUUCGGCCAACUGGGGUUUGUCACAGCGGGUCGCAUGUUAUAGCGCGGAUCGUUUUCCCAGGAUGCAGACGGAACUCCGGAAGCAAUGUGCAGCCCUUGCAGGCCCUGCGGCGAGAGCCACAGCAUCUCCACCAGGUUGUACUGGCAGUAGCCCAUCCAGAAGCCGAACGCCACGUCGGUCACGUUGUGGCGGCCCAGCAUGACGCGGCUCAGCCCCACCGUGCCCACCCACAGCAGCACCAGGACCCUCAGCGGGGCGGCCAGCACCAGGUGCGCCAGCAGGAAGCGGCCGCACAUGGAGGCGCGCGUGGCGUGGCCCGAGGGGAAGGAGUAGCGGUCCACGGAGAAGGUGGCGAACAUGUCCAUGCGGUUGUGGGCGGGCCUGCGCCGACGCACCGUCGCCUUGACGACGCCGACCAGAACCAGGUCCAGGAGCAGACCUGGGAAGAGAAGGUGCGAAAGAUUACAACAGUACUUAACACAAACUAUAAUACAGGAAUCAAAGCAGUUUAAAAACAAGUCUGUUGUGUCAAUGGAAAAAAAAAGAAAAAAAAAAGCCUUACAAACAAAUGAGUCAAGUCAUUGUUACAUAACAGACUUUUAUUUGGCAGUGUGGCCUUGACAAGUAUUUCUUCUUCAGUUCUUUCCUCAAU